rnacentral:lncRNA from 1 species
GCUAAUACAUCUUUCUUAGCAAUCUAAUUCUAACUCUAAGUAGUAGCUCAAGAAUCUAAUCUUCGAGAAAUGCGAUCGAAAUCCAUUCCUUCACGGUUAGAUUCUGCUCACUUCUUCCCUUAAGCUUCCUUUCUUUUCUUCGAUCCUACAAAACAUCAAUUGUAAUCUUAUCACAUUAUGUAUUAAGAAUCUAGAAUAGAAGCUUAAAAGAGUUAGUUAAUGGAUUUUACCUAUAUUAGAGCCAUACGUUUCGACUCUCCCAUCUCUUAGAUCUCUUAGGUAAAUGGGGCAACUUCGUCUCCAAUGCCCUUUCUCUUGGCAAUAAAAACAAAUUGACUCUUUUGGAACAUGACAUGGAACUACUUCAGACAUUGCCUUUCUCUUAUGAUCAAACUUUUUGAUCAUAGCAUGUCUUUCGUUGCCAUUGUCUAUAUCCAUAGAGGUCUUGAAGGCAGAUUCACCAAUCAACUUUGCUUUUCUAUUGCGCCAAACCAUUGCUGAUUCAGCAGCAAUAAGCAUAUAGGUGAGAUCUAUAAGGGUCACGUCGCGGUUCAUCAUAUAGUACUCUCUUACGAACUCACUAUAUGAGUUAGGAAGUGACUGAAGAACCCAAUCAACAGCCAUUUCCUCACAGACAACGGAUCCCAACAUUCUUAACCUAUCAAUGUGUGACUUCAUCCCUAGGACGUGUGCACACACCGACUUUCCUUCUUUAUGUUUACUUGCCAAAAGGGCUUGAGUGAUCUUGAACUUUUCAAGCCUUUGAACUUGUGGGUUAGGGAGAAUAAUUGGAGGAGGAGGAGGAAGUGAAGCAUGAUUUCUUGUUCCUCGAUCGAAUCGUGGAAUAUCAUCUUCAUGUGGAAUGCUUGUUCCACGGGAUUUGGGAAGACCAUAGUUGUCGAACUUUGACAUCUACAAAACGGGAGAAAACGAAUUCAAGUUAGUUGAUUGAUUGAGUCCUUAGUAAAUCACCCAAAUGAGAUACUAAGGCUAGGACCCAACACAAUAUUCUACAACUCGGGAGAGGGAUGCCGUAACCCUAAUUGCAGAAUAUUUGAAGGUAAGUGAAUGACGAUUCACUAAUUUCCACCAUGAAAAACGAAAAAGAAAUUUAAGUUUUAAAUCUAUGAAAACUCCUAGAUCCUUUGAGAUUCAUUGAACUUUCAAUGGCAUGUUUAAAUCUCGAUAUGCCCCUCUUGUUUGUGACUGGGAUGCCGAGGAUCACAAAGCGGGUGUGAAUAACCAUGCAAACUUACAUGGUGCCCUCACAUGUUACAGUCACCUAUUCGAUGUGCCGGUAAACCACACACGCUCCACCGAACUAUGACAAACAUUGAGUCACCCUUUGCUACCUUUGCUUAGAACCAUUUAGUGUGCCGGUAAACCACACACGCUCCACUAACGUCUUCGCAAGGGCACAAAGUGUAAUUUCAUGGAAUUGCAUCAAUUCACUUUUGCCUAAGUAACUAAGAUUGGGAAUUUUAUGAAAACAUUUAGUUACUUUAAUAAUUCAUUAUACUUAUAAUGGAAGGUUUCGUCCUAUCCUACCCGUUCGGCUAACGACCCUCCACUAGUCAAGAGUGCGGUGGGUAAGAGUGGAUACCCAUUCAAUCGCCAUUUUAUAGGCAAUUUCCUUAAACACCCCUUAUAGACCAGCUUCGUGAAUGAGGCCUACUAACGGUAAGACUGACUUUUACUCAUACAUAUAUAUAAUGUUAGACUUUUAAUGUUAUAUAUAGUAUAGGGUAUAUUUUACACUUUUAAAAUACUAGGUGGUCAAAUUUAAUAAUUAUACCUUUAAUUCAAUUAAAUUGUAAACCAAAACUUUUAUGGAUUUAUUAAACCUCUUUUAAUUAUACACCUUAAUUAAUUAAUAAAACCAUAAGGGUGUGAUUUGAACUUUUUCAAAACAAUACUAGGGUUUUAGAAUUUAACAUUCCUAAUUAAACUUUUAAUCAACUUUUAAAUUCCAAAACUUGAGGGCAAGUUUUGAAACAUUUCAAAACAUUAGGGUUUAGAAUUUAAAUAUACAUCAAAAUUAAACAAUUAAUCAAAAUUUAAAUUCCAAAACUUGAGGGCAAGUUUUGAAACCUUUUUCAAAACAUUAGGGUUUCAACUAUUUAAAUUUCAAAACAACAAAACUUUUGGGUUCAAAUUUAAACUAUAAAACCUAAAGGGGAAAAUAUGAAACUUUUCAAAACACAAGGAUCAAAUAACAAAUAAUCUAAAUUAACAUUUAAUCACAUAAUUAUCCAUAUUUGAUUUAUUUAAUGAUUUCUUGCAAAACAAUUUACCAAUUUAAUCAAAAUAAUUAAUCAAUUAUCACAUAAGGAAACAAUUAUUUUAUUAAUUGAUAAAUAUCUUCAAUUAGAUCAAGAAUAUAGUCAAAUAUAUCAUAAAAUCGGAUUUAUAUUGAUCUAAUAUGAUAAGGCAACUAUCCUUAAGCAAAAACAGCAAGAAAUCCCGGUUUUCCCUCUUACUGACCAGCCGACUCGUCGAGUCAGGCAUGGACUCGUCGAGUUAGCAUGAACUCGACGAGUUCAUCUAAAAAACUCGGCGAGUUCAGCCCCCAGAAACACAAAAAUCGAAUUUUUUUAACAUAUAAAGCAUCAAUACAAUAGAAACCAAUCUAGGCUCUGAUACCACUGAUGGGUUUUGGUCAUAAGACAUCCUAUGUGCUCAUACAAACCCUAAUGCUUGGAUCUAGGUUUCUCUAUUGUACAUGCUUUGAAUCCAAGACUAUAAACCCUAAUUCUAGCAUAUGGAAAUCAAUAUUAACAUAUAAUUAGGUUUAUGAUAUUACCUUGAUUGUUAUGUAGCAAUAACAAUCCCAAUUCCUCCUUGAAUUGACUUUGGAAGGCUUAGAGUCACAAGUGUCACUCCUCUAAUGGUUCACAAACACCAUAAGCAAGAGGAUGAAGAGGAGAGAGGAUGGAGGCUGCCCAAAACGUGUUCUAACCCUAGAAAAGAAGUUCCCCACGUUUUUGAGCCUUAAGGGUUCUAUAUAUAGUGAGGCAAUUAGGGUUAUCUAACAAGGAAACCCUAAUUUGGAUGCUUAAGCCCUAAGCAACCCAUGGAGCCCUUUCCUUAAGGCCUUGGACGAUUUCAUAUGGGCUUCCCCCAUAGAAUUCGUCCACCUUAUAAUAUAAGGCAAUCCAUGGCCCAAAUUGCAAUUAUCUUAUAAUUACAAUUCCAGUCCCUUAAGUUUAAUUAAUCUCUUUUAGUCACAAAACUAAUUACCAAUUAAUUAUUGACUAAUAUUAAUUAAACAAUAUGAUUUCUCCUUUAAUAUAUUAUUCUCAUAAUAUAUUAAUAAAUCAUAUUUAAUCCUUUCUCUCCAUAAUUCAUCCUAUCAAGUUGCUUUGGUGAAGGCAACCCAAAAGGACCAUGCACCAUCGGGUCAAGUACAUACCAAAAUAGUUAUGGACUUAGACACUAAUCCAACAGUCUCCCACUUGGAUAAGUCUAAUAACUAUUCUGCGUAUGACUUCAGAUCCUGAUCUGCAAUCGUAGCUUUCCAAAGCCGCUGUCAACUCUGAUCAUAUCAGAUACGCGUGUCCUUAGAUAAGGGAUCAUAUAUUCCUCCAUUCUAGAUAUCAUAUGAGAUAUGAUUUCAAAUCAUUCUCUUUGUACUAUAUCUCGAUUCCCGAUUUAUGACGACUGACUAAUUGAACAAAUCAAAUUAGCCCUAGCCCGGCCGAGCAUUUACGUUUGUCAUCACUAAAUCAUCGAGGGGCCCAAAGAUAUCGCUUUUAUCCUACUUUGGAUAAAAGGAACGGAUAAACUUUGAUACAAUGCUUGCUUGCACUCACUCACCGAAUCACACACAACAAUAUGUUUUAUAACACCAAGUUACUAGUGCGUUUACAUAUUAUCAAUGUGCAACCGAUUUGCAAGAUACAACUCACACAUCUCGGUUUCAAGAAUAUAAGAUGUUAUCGUCUCACCAAUCACUCGUGAUACAAUUCAUGGAGUGAUCCAAGUGAGCGUGGGUUUAAUCCAAUGCUCAAAUCAUAUUCAUAAGCACUCAUGAACGUUGCAGCAAACAUUUGCUUAUGUCUAAUACUCUUUUAGACAAUCCACACACCAAUUCACGACAGUCUUCAUUCAUAUCUACUUCCAACAUAUGAACGACUGUGGCCCGUUUGAAUAAUUCGAUUAUUCUUAAUAAACUCAAUUAUUCUGGAAGUCAAAACAUGCAAAUGUGAAACACAAGAAUAAUACUAAUCCCAUAUGGCCUCAAACCUUUGAGUAUAAAUAAAACACCUUUUAUUUAUCACCAUAUCGAUUACUCAUUAUUUGUCGUUUCGGGUAAUCAACUUCUUACUUGAAUUAUUACACUUGUCCCAUGCUCCUAGCAUGCACACAAUGUUUACCUAUGGUUCUUACUUUGUGAAAUAGAUCAAAUUGAACACAUUUCCAAUCAUUCUCAUUUCACAACUCCAAAUCCUUUUUCAUAAGUGAAAGAAUAUCAAAUUCUUGCUACUUAUAGAAUAUGCUAGAUUCUAACAUUCUAUGCAACGAUCCUUUCGUAAUGUCACUGCACCAAAGUCACAAAGACUAUUGCCAAUGAUAUUACAAAGUCCUCUAUCGGAGAUUGUUACAAGACAAUUCCUUAGAUAUGAUGUCUCUCACUCAAAGUACAUUCCUUUGAACAUCCUUUUGCAUAAAAGUUUCUAAUCUAGACAUAGAUUUUCAAUAUUCAAUUCCCAAUAUGGACACGCUUCCAUAUUUUCCAUAUGACAACUCAUUCUUAAUAGAAUCUUAUCUAUUCGUAAUGAUGUCGAUAUGGUCCAUCCAAUAUGGAAACAUUUCCAUAAUUUCCAUAUGACAACUCAUUCUUAAUAGAAUCUUUUCUAUUCAUAAUAAUGUCGAUAUGGUCCAUCCAAUACCAUGCUUCCAACUACUCACAAGCGACCAAUCCUCGUCGAACUUUGGAUUGUCCUUUGAUAGUUGUUUAAUUAUUUUAGUCAAAACCAAUUAUGGUCCCUUUUCCCUCUAAAUGCGCUUGACAUUUGGAAAUUUUAGAAUGGUCAAACAUUAAAGCAUUUGCAAUCGAUCCUAUACCCGAAGCGUAUGGGACACGACGCAUAAUGUUUUAUUUGCUAUGUUCUCAAAAUUCGAAUUGUGAAGAGGAAUGCCGUAAUCAUAAUCGAAAUUUUAAGAACACACUAUGUACCUUUGACUAAAUUUAUUAACAUUUCUCAACCUAAUCCUUUAGAUUUGAAAUGAAGCAUAAUAUUCUCUCCCUUAAUUAUAGCAAAACAACCUUUCAACUCUUACAACUUUGCAAAGUAUGACUCUUGUUUUCUAUAAUUAAUAUUGCUAACCUUGCAAUACUUUCCUUAAUAAUCAUACAAUCAUAACAUUUAUGCUCCCACUAUCAUGAUGAUUAUUAUAAAACAUAACACUUAUGCUCCCACUAGCUUCGACAUGUAUUCAUAAACAUCUUAACUUUCAGAAAACAAUACUUAUUGAAUUUCUUAAGUUCAUGUUUCUAAUACUUAGUGCUUUGAUAAUCCUUUAUCAAUGCUUCUUGAACUUAUACACCUUUGCCUUCGAUAGUUCAUAUGUGUGUCUAAACAAUUAAGACUAAUUGCCAAACCUCACAAUUCAAAUUAUGGAAAGGGAUGCCGUAACCAUGAUUGAAUUUGAGAAUGCAAUUUUACAAUCACUAUCUUCUUAAAAUCUCUCUUAGUGAAAGCAUUUCCUCACAAUCAUUUUCAUGAAGGAGGAAAUCUUAUGACACUUAGAUUUAAACGGUGUAUGUGUUCCUAUCCAUGUGAAUUUGUUAAAACCAAAGUUUACGACAAAUUCAAACUCAUAUGGACCGAACUUUCUUAAUCUUGAUUUCUUGCCUUAUGGUAGCACAGCUGCCCACCAUGUCUUCCAAGUAGUUAAGCAGCUCACCCUUUCCUAUCAAUGUACCUUUCAUUGAUUAAGGUGCUUUGCCUUUUAUGCGUUCAAAAUGAGAACUCAUAGAACUCACAUGCAUAAUUAACUCGAUUGGAUUGGCACAGAAUCAAAAUAAUGUCAACACGAUAGGUUGUAAACCUCAACUCGUGUGCUAGUGAUGAUCGAUAAGGUUUAUUUGAUUUGUUCUUGAAACCUUUCAAGACCAUUAAGACUCCCACUGACUCCUUGACAUAUAAGAUUCUCUUGUCAAUAACCAUUUCUUGACAAACAAAUAUUCAAGAGUUAGUGUAGCUUUUAUCAAAACACUUCAUAAAUUGGUCCUAGUUGGUCUUUGUCUUAUCCAAGACAUCACAACUUUCCACAUUUAAUGAAUGUUACAAACCUUCUUAAUACCUUUCACUCAAUGUCACAAUCUUAACUUUAAGACUUGUUAUUGGAACGAAGUAUGAUUGACUUAUUGAUUUAACCAUUUCUUCAAUUCUUGAUUCCUCUUCUUAGACAUACAAUUGUACUAAGACUCACUUAGAGGAUCAAUUGAGAUAUGGUUCUUAAUCAUUAAGACCUAUCAUAAAGCAUAAAAGGUACUCUCCCUUCUUCUUAGAAUGGAGAAACUUUUAUCUUUCUGCCUACUUGAUUCUUCUUAUUCGUUCUGCUAUUGAUUUAAACCUUUUCAAUCAAUUCAGAAUUACACUUAAUCUUAUAAGUAUAAUCAUAUUUACUAAACCUUUAGUAAAUCAUGACGAAUAUCUUUGUUACUCUUAUGGUGGACUUGAUCAACACGCAACUUUGUGUAUUCGAUCUCCAAGUCCUUCACUUGACACUUUGUCAAUGAAUUAGUCUAAUUUCCAAAUAUGAAAUUUCUCAUUCAUCGUGCAACCAAGUUGCAUGAUUCCAAGUUUCUGUCCAAUUGAAACUUGGGCGAUGAGAAACUCUCCCUAUUUGGUAAAUUCUCGACUUUCCAUAAAUAACAUAAUAAGAACCAAAUCCAUUAUUGCUAAUAAUAGAAACAUUUUAACAUCAAUUUUUCAUACACGCCAUUGUAAGGAUAAAUAAAUAAAAUUUAAAAUCAAAAUUUAUUUUAUUGCGGAAAAAUUUGUCCUUACAAUGCAACUCAUUGAAAAACUUAUGCUAAUACAUCUUUCUUAGCAAUCUAAUUCUAACUCUAAGUAGUAGCUCAAGAAUCUAAUCUUCGAGAAAUGCGAUCGAAAUCCAUUCCUUCACGGUUAGAUUCUGCUCACUUCUUCCCUUAAGCUUCCUUUCUUUUCUUCGAUCCUACAAAACAUCAAUUGUAAUCUUAUCACAUUAUGUAUUAAGAAUCUAGAAUAGAAGCUUAAAAGAGUUAGUUAAUGGAUUUUACCUAUAUUAGAGCCAUACGUUUCGACUCUCCCAUCUCUUAGAUCUCUUAGGUAAAUGGGGCAGCUUCGUCUCCAAUGCCCUUUCUCUUGGCAAUAAAAGCAAAUUGACUCUUUUGGAACAUGACAUGGAACUACUUCAGACAUUGCCUUUCUCUUAUGAUCAAACUUUUCGAUCAUAGCAUGUCUUUCGUUGCCAUUGUCUAUAUCCAUAGAGGUCUUGAAGGCAGAUUCACCAAUCAACUUUGCUUUUCUAUUGCGCCAAACCAUUGCUGAUUCAGCAGCAAUAAGCAUAUAGGUGAGAUCUAUAAGGGUCACGUCGCGGUUCAUCAUAUAGUACUCUCUUACGAACUCACUAUAUGAGUUAGGAAGUGACUGAAGAACCCAAUCAACAGCCAUUUCCUCACAGACAACGGAUCCCAACAUUCUUAACCUAUCAAUGUGUGACUUCAUCCCUA